rnacentral:tRNA from 1 species
GUUAAACUCUACUAUUAAGGA